GUGGCCCGGCGGAUCCUCGUAGCCCUCGCCCCUCGUCUCGCAUCGCCCACCCCGGCCUUGCUGGUCAACUACUGCCAAGGAGCGCAGAGUGGAAGCGGCAGGAAACUGCCGGGGGACCACAGCUCGGACCGAGGUCCUCAGAAUUCAUCAAGAAAUUGGACAGAGGUCAUUCAUCUCUGUUGAUGACGGAAUGAAGAAUACAGACUUGGGCUUCAUAAUGCCACAAACAUUCAUCAAAAAGCUGGCCAGGAUUAUGCAGAUUAUAAACUUGUUGAAGAGGAAGACUAUGUUGUCUUUGUUUUGGUAACCUGUCUACCUAGCACAAUGCUGAAAUAUGUCAAGUACCCGACUUCCAGCGGCUCCCCUUCUCACCCUGAGUAGAAGCCAGAGCACCACCGAGGUCCUGAAGGUCCAAGUCAGCAAGGCUGGACAUCAGACAUGCCAGUGGCCCAGACUCAACGAGGCUAAUGAAGACAGGACCUCAGGGGAUAGCAAAGUAAUGAGAUAGCAGAAGCCUGGGCUCCUGAAUGACUCUGUGGAGCAGAGAUGCUCCAUCACCUAGAAUGAGAACACAUGUUCUUAGAGAGAAAUGAACUUCUAUUUAAGUUACUGUGUAAUGGGAACACUUUGUUCCAGUGACUUAGCCUACACUCCGACCUACACAUUUCUUCUACAUUUCCCCAAUUUAUUAUUCUGCCUAGCACUUACCACUGUCUAUCAAAUUAAUAACUUUUGUUCUUUUAUUUCUCAUCUGCCUUCCUUAAUUAGAAGGUAAGUUCUUUGAAGGCAGGGAUUUUUGUCUUUGUUCCCUGUGGCAUCCUCAGAUUGAUAAUAGGAUCCCACUCACAGUAGGUAUUCAAUUAAUAUAUAGGGAGUGAAAUAAUAUUAGCCACCAAAAGUGAAAUCAUUCUCUGUGCCAUAAAGAAAGGGCUUUAGUAACUUUUGAAAUGAAUCCUAUGGCACAGGAGUGGAGGGGGCAGGAAGAAGUUAAAUGUUAGGGAGCAAAAACAGGGAAACUCCGUGUAUGAAAGGUAGAG